GGUGCCAUAGUCUAGUGGUUAGGACAUCAGGUUUUGAGUUGCUAGAUUUUCCGAGAGUAUCCAAUGUGUUACUCAUAAGAUGGAUCUAGUGUUCGUAAAGCUCCUGAGAGCCCCGGUUCGAACCCGGGUGGCACCU
rfam:Aspergillus wentii DTO 134E9 unplaced genomic scaffold ASPWEscaffold_1, whole genome shotgun sequence.